UUAUUUUUCAGGUUGAUCGUGUCCUGAGCUGAAGAUGUUCCCAGAACAGCAGAAAGAGGUAAGAUGCUACCCAUUCGUUUAUGGAGAGUCUGGGCUGAAAAUCUGAAAAUAAAUAAUAAUCCACAGAUGUUGGGUCAUCACAGACUAGUCCAAGAAGUUCCUAGAAACGGGUGACAUCUCAGAAGAGGGCUGAUGGAAGAACAGCCACUCCCUGUCCCCUCUGUAAACAUCCCAUGCCAUCCAUCCCCCUUCUAGUUCUGCGACUAAGCUCUAGCACCCUCUGCCCCUCACUCAUCUUCUAAAGCUCUGCCUCCCAGACCCAGAAUCCUCCCAGGUUCUGCCUCCCACCCUUCGCCUGAGCAUCUCUCCCAUGCUGCUUGCCUGGUUUUCUGCUUUGUUGACUCAUCCCUGGAUACUCUCAGCUUUGAGUAGGGACCCAGGAAAGUGUCAGCCAGCCGUUUCUUUUAUUCUGUUUGUUUCUUUUAGAGUUUUGUUCUGUUGUUUUGAUUUUGUUUAUUUGUUUCCCACACAACUCAACAAGACUGUCUUUUCUUUUUCUUUCUUUUAAAGAUUUAUUUAUUAUUAUAUGUAAGAACACUGUAGCUGUCUUCAGACGCACCAGAAGAGGGCAUUAGAUCUCAUUACGGAUGGUUGUGAGCCACCAUGUGGUUGCUGGAAUUUGAACUCAGGACCCUCAGAAGAGCAGUCAGUGUUCUUAACCACUGAGCCAUCUCUCCAGCCCUUCUUUUUCUUUUUUAAAUAACUCCUGUGUUGGCAAUAGUAUUCUUUUUUUUUAAACAUUAUUUAUUUAUUUUAUGUAUAUGAGUACAGUGUAGCUGUCUUCAGAAAUACCAGAAGAGGGCAUCAGAUCUCAUUACAGAUGGUUCUGAGCCGCCAUGUGGUUGCUGGGAAUUGAACUCCGGAUCUCUGGACGAGCAGUCAGUGUUCUUAACCUCUGAACCAGCUCUCCAGCCCAACUAUCUUUUCUUGAUUGCAUCCUAGACUUACAGACUUCCAAAGCCCAGUUUCCUGGGUUCCAUCUGGGGUAGGGCUAAUUCAGCUAUCCUUCACUAUCCACAAGACAUUGGUUCUAGGAGACUACCCACCAAUGUCUCAGGAUGAUCAAGCCCUUUGUAUAAAAUUGGUGCAGUGUUUGUAUCUAGCCUGCCCAGUCCUUCCAAGUAUUUACAUAUUUCUCCAGUCUUUUAAGACAGGCUACCAGGCUGGCUUUGAACUCACUGUGCAGCCAAGAUGGGGCCUGACUCUCUGACCUUUCUGAUUCUACCUUCCCAGGGCUAGGAUUACAGGGGUUGCCUCCAUAUCCAGCCUCUCAGAUACUUUAAACAUCUCUAGAAGACUUAUAAUCCUAAGUGCAAUGUAAAUGCUGAGGUAAUAGCUAUAUCAUUUAGGGGAGAAUGACCAGGAAAAAGCUUGUAUAUCUGGUAGAGAUACACUAUGUAGCUCAAGAUGGUCUUUAACUAGGUGUGAACCACCAUGUCCAACUUCUUUCCAUGUGUGUAUGCCUGCAUGUGUGCAUGUGUGCGGGUACCUGUGUAUGUGUGCAUGUGUGUGGGUACCUGUGUAUGUGUGUGUGUGUGUGCAUGUGUGUGGGUACCUGUGUAUGUGUGUGUGCAUGUGUGUGGGUACCUGUGUAUGUGUGUGUGUGUGCAUGUGUGUGGAUACCUGUGUAUGUGUGCGUGUGUGCAUGUUUGUGGGUACCUGUGUAUGUGUGCGUGUGUGCAAGUGUGUGGGUACCUCUGUGUGUGUGCGUGCGUGCAUGUGUGUGGAGGCCAGAGGUCGACCUUGAGUGUUGUUCCUCAGAUGGCUGUCCAACUUGUGUGUUAAGAAUCAGUCACUCAUGGACUAAGAAAAAGACUUUGCACAGAAGUAUGCAAUAGAAAGUAAAUAUACAUUUUAAAGCUAUUUUACAAAUUGUUUUAUAAACCCUAACUAGUAUAGAGGAUGAUGUCUUACAUGAAACAAAAGGCUGAAGAUUUGAGUCUCUACUAUUGGGAACUUAAGGAUACAUCUUUAUUAAUGAAUGGAUGGAUCACUGGGUAUUUGGCAGAGAAACCCCCCUUUAAAAACAAAAACAAAAACAAAAACAAAAACAGAUUUGAACAAUAAAAUGCCCACUUGACCCAGAUAGAAACAGGUGAAGUGUUUGGUUUCAUUUGUCACAAGUACUGAAGGAAUCAAGGAGCAUGUCGCAGAACCACGCAGAGUGGUACUUUUUGUCAAAUUCCUUUUUGAUAAAGUCUGUAUAUUGGACUUCUCCUGUGCCUGAGUAGUAGCACGUUCCAAGUCCUGUUGCUUCUCUUCUGACAUGCCUGCGGUUUUCAUUACUGCUUGCCCAGUGAACAUUCUAGAACGUGGUCACCAUGAGCCAGGGCUGGGGAGGGAUUGGUGCUGCUCAGGCUGAAAAGGAAAGUAGGUAGAGUUCCUCUAGGACAGAUUCUCAGGAGGUCGGUUUUGACCAACACUUUGGGGGCCAAAUGACCCUUUCACAGGGGUCACCUAAGACCAUUGGAAAACAAUCAUAUUUAUAUUAUAAUUUAUAACCGUAGCAAAAUUACAGUUAUGAGGUAAUGAAAAGAAUUUGAUGUUGGGGUGGGGGUGGGGUCACAAUACCUAAUAAAGGGCUAGAGCAUUAGGAAGGUUGAGAACCACUGCUCUAUAUAGAGGAUUACUUUUUUGUUGUGCUCUGGCUGGCUGGGACUCACUAUGUAGAACAGACUGGCUUCAAAUUCAUAGAAAUUCACUUGCCUCUACCUCCAGAGUGCUGGGGUUAAAGGGAUACACUAUCACUUACAAUUUUUCUUUUUUUAAAAAACAAGAUCUCAUUCCACGACCCAGAAAAAUAUUCCAGUUCAUGUUCAUGAGUUUCAGUAAAAACUAAAGUAAUGGUGGUUAACAACCUGUAAGACUUGUGUUUUAUUUUUUAUUUAUUUAUUAUUUUUUUGAUACAGGGUUUCUCUGUGUAGCCCUGGUUGUCCUGAACUCACUCAACCUGUAAGACUAACCUGUGAUUUUUUUCCCCAUUGGUCACUUUCCUGUAGCAUAUUGCUUAUUUGCUAUGUUCUGUAAGACUUAGUUAUUAGACGUUACAUUCACAGAAAAUGAAAUAUAUAGGCUAAUGCCAAACU
rnacentral:lncRNA from 1 species